CUACGGGGGGCACCAGUGGGGAAUAUUGCACAAUGGGCGCAAGCCUGAUGCAGCCAUGCCGCGUGUAUGGAGAAGGCCUUCGGGUUGUAAAGUACUUUCAGCGGGGAGGAAGGGAGUAAAGUUAAUACCUUUGCUCAUUGACGUUACCCGCAGAAGAAGCACCGGCUAACUCCGUGCCAGCAGCCGCGGUAAUACGGAGGGUGCAAGCGUUAAUCGGAAUUACUGGGCGUAAAGCGCACGCAGGCGGUUUGUUAAGUCAGAGGUGAAAUCCCCGGGCUCAACCUGGGAACUGCAUCUGAUACUGGCAAGCUUGAGUCUCGUAGAGGGGGGUAGAAUUCCAGGUGUAGCGGUGAAAUGCGUAGAGAUCUGGAGGAAUACCGGUGGCGAAGGCGGCCCCCUGGACGAAGACUGACGCUCAGGUGCGAAAGCGUGGGGAGCAAACAGGAUUAGAUACCCCAGUAGUC
rnacentral:rRNA from 1 species